ACUGCCCGUACCGCAAACCGACACAGGUAGUCGAGGAGAGAAUCCUAAGGUGAGCGAGAGAACUCUCGUUAAGGAACUCGGCAAAAUGACCCCGUAACUUCGGAAGAAGGGGUGCUGGCCGCAAGGCCAGCCGCAGUGAAAAGGCCCAGGCGACUGUUUAUCAAAAACACAGGUUUCUGCAAAAUCGUAAGAUGAAGUAUAGGGGCUGACGCCUGCCCGGUGCUGGAAGGUUAAAAGGAUGGGUUAGCGUAAGCGAAGCUCAGAAUUGAAGCCCCAGUAAACGGCGGCCGUAACUAUAACGGUCCUAAGGUAGCGAAAUUCCUUGUCGGGUAAGUUCCGACCCGCACGAAAGGCGUAACGAUCUGGGCACUGUCUCAACGAGAGACUCGGUGAAAUUGAAAUCCCUGUGAAGAUGCAGGGUACCCGCGACAGGACGGAAAGACCCCAUGGAGCUUUACUGUAGCUUGAUAUUGAGUGUUUGUACUGCUUGUACAGGAUAGGUAGGAGCCAUAGAAAGCGGAACGCUAGUUUCGCUGGAGGCGCUGGUGGGAUACUACCCUUGCAUUAUGACCACUCUAACCCGCAACACUGAACGUGCUGGGAGACAGUGUCAGGUGGGCAGUUUGACUGGGGCGGUCGCCUCCCAAAAGGUAACGGAGGCGCCCAAAGGUUCGCUCAGAAUGGUUGGAAAUCAUUCGCAGAGUGUAAAGGCACAAGCGAGCUUGACUGCGAGACAGACAGGUCGAGCAGGGACGAAAGUCGGGCUUAGUGAUCCGGUGGUUCCGCAUGGAAGGGCCAUCGCUCAACGGAUAAAAGCUACCCUGGGGAUAACAGGCUUAUCUCCCCCAAGAGUCCACAUCGACGGGGAGGUUUGGCACCUCGAUGUCGGCUCAUCGCAUCCUGGGGCUGUAGUCGGUCCCAAGGGUUGGGCUGUUCGCCCAUUAAAGCGGUACGCGAGCUGGGUUCAGAACGUCGUGAGACAGUUCGGUCCCUAUCCGUCGCGGGCGUAGGAAAUUUGAGAGGACCUGUCCUUAGUACGAGAGGACCGGGAUGGACAUACCGCUGGUGUACCAGUUGUUCCGCCAGGAGCACCGCUGGGUAGCUAUGUAUGGACGAGAUAAACGCUGAAAGCAUCUAAGUGUGAAACUCGCUUCGAGAUGAGAUUUCCCAUUCCCUUCGGGGAAGUAAGACCCCACAAAGAUGAUGUGGUAGAUAGGAUGGAAGUGGAAGUGCAGUGAUGCAUGGAGCGGACCAUUACUAAUCGGUCGAGGACUUAACC
rnacentral:rRNA from 1 species